GAUGAAGAACGUAGCGAAAUGCGAUAAGUAAUGUGAAUUGCAGAAUUCAGUGAAUCAUCGAAUCUUUGAACGCACCUUGCGCCCUUUGGCUAUUCUGAAGGGCAUGCCUGUUUGAGUAUCGUGAACACCUCAACUCUCAUGGUCUGCCAUGAUGAGCUUGGACUUUGGGGGUCUUGCUGGCCUACUGUCAGCUCCUCUCAAAUGAAUCAGCUUACCAGUGUUUGGUGGCACCACAGGUGUGAUAACUAUCUACGCUUGUGGUUUUCUGCCAGGUAACCUCCAGUGAUGGAGGUUCGCUGGAGCUCACAAAUGUCUCGCCUCAGCGAGGACAGCUUUUUGAACGUUUGAUCUCAAAUCAGGUAGGACUACCCGCUGAACUUAAGCAUAUCAAUAAGCGGAGGA
rnacentral:misc_RNA from 1 species